rnacentral:lncRNA from 1 species
AUGGGGCUUAUGAUCAAACGAGAGUGUGAAAACCAUCCUGGUGGCAGAACGCAUUAUCAGUUGUUGAGCUCCAUCCACAUGGUGAUAGGACGACCAUGGACCUCCCAGGCAGAAAAUCAUGUGUCAGCACCUAUCCUGGGAGUACAAAGCAGCAAAGAUAAUGAAAAGAUUGAUAUUUGUCCAUUUAUUUUUACAUUUUUCCUUUCAUUGUUUAAGAGUCAAAUUGUGAUAAUUUUCUUAAGAAACCAAGUUAAAAAAAAAGAAAUAAAAAUUGAUAAUUUUUAA